rnacentral:rRNA from 1 species
ACGGGGGGUGCAAGCGUUGUUCGGAAUUAUUAGGCGUAAAGCGCGUGUAGGCGGUUUGUUAAGUCUGAUGUGAAAGCCCUGGGCUCAACCCAGGAAGUGCAUUGGAUACUGGCAGACUUGAAUACGGGAGAGGGUAGUGGAAUUCCUGGUGUAGGGGUGAAAUCCGUAGAUAUCAGGAGGAACACCGGUGGCGAAGGCGGUUGCCUGGACCGUUAUUGACGCUGAGACGCGAAAGCGUGGGUAGCAAACAG